rnacentral:tRNA from 1 species
GAGGGUAUAGCUCAAGUGGCAGAGCGCAUGCUUAGCGUGCACAAGGUCCUGGGUGCAAUUCCCAGUGCCUCCU